CACUCAACAGCUAGCUUAAAUAAUUGCCCC
rnacentral:rRNA from 1 species